ACUACGGGUGGCAGCAGUGAGGAAUAUUGGUCAAUGGCCGGGAGGCUGAACCAGCCAAGUCGCGUGAGGGAAGACGGCCCUCCGGGUUGUAACCCUCUUUUGUCAGGGAGCAAGGCGCAGGUCGGGACUUGCUGUGAGAGUACCUGACGAAAAAGCAUCGGCUAACUCCGUGCCAGCAGCCGAGGUAAUACGGAGGAUGCGAGCGUUAUCCGGAUUUAUUGGGUUUAAAGGGAGCGCAGGCGGAGGAAAAAGUCAGCGGUAAAAUCGCGGGGCUCAACCCCGCCCCGCCAUGGAAACUGUGUACCUUGAGUGCGGGAAGGGUAGGCGGAAUGCGUGGUGUAGCGGUGAAAUGUGUAGAUAUCAGGAGGAACUCCGAUGGCGAAGGCAGCCUGCCGGCGCGCAACUGACGCUCAUGCACGAAAGCGUGGGUAUCGAACAGGAUUAGAUACCCGUGUAGUC
rnacentral:rRNA from 1 species